rnacentral:rRNA from 1 species
GACGAACGCUGGCGGCGUGCCUAAUACAUGCAAGUAGAACGCAGUUGCGAACGGGUGAGUACCGCGUAGGUAACCUGCCUCAUAGCGGGGGAUAACUAUCGGAAACGAUAGCUAAUACCGCAUACUGUGAGAUGGACCUGCGUUGUAUUAGCUAGUGGGUGAGGUAAAGGCUCACCAAGCAGACGAUACAUAGCCGACCUGAGAGGGUGAUCGGGCACACGGGGACUGAGACACGGUCCAGACUCCUACGGGAGGCAGCAGUGGGGAAUAUUGCACAAUGGGCGCAAGACUGAUACAGCCAUGCCACGUGCAUGAAGAAGGCCUUCGGGUUGUAAAGUACUUUCGGCGGGGAGGCGUUACCCGCAGAAGAAGCACCGGCUAACUCCGUGCCAGCAGCCGCGGUAAUAC